rnacentral:rRNA from 1 species
UACGAAGGGUGCAAACGUUGCUCGGAAUCAUUGGGCGUAAAGCGCACGUAGGCGGCUCUGCAAGUCGGAUGUGAAAUCCCUCGGCUCAACCGAGGACGUGCAUCCGAAACUGCGGAGCUUGAGUAUGGAAGAGGGUCGCGGAAUCCCCGGUGUAGAGGUGAAAUUCGUAGAUAUCGGGGGGAACACCAGUGGCGAAGGCGGCGACCUGGGCCAAUACUGACGCUGAGGUGCGAAAGCGUGGGGAGCGAACCGG